UUGGAGGGCAAGUCUGGUGCCAGCAGCCGCGGUAAUUCCAGCUCCAAUAGCGUAUAUUAAAGUUGUUGCAGUUAAAAAGCUCGUAGUUGAAUUUCGGGAUCAAUGUUUCGGUCAUGCCGUUGGUAUGUACUGAUAUUAUUGAUUUCUCACCUUCUAAAGAACCGUAAUGCCAUUAAUUUGGUGUCACGGGGAAUUAGGACUGUUACCUUGAAAAAAUUAGAGUGUUUAAAGCAGGCUCACGCUUGAAUACAUUGACAUGGAAUAAUGAAAUAGGACAUCCGAUUCUAUUUUGUUGGUUUCUAGGAUCGAUGUAAUGAUUAAUAGGGAUAGUUGGGGGCAUUAGUAUUCAAUUGUCAGAGGUGAAAUUCUUGGAUUUAUUGAAGACUAACUACUGCGAAAGCAUUUGCCAAGGAUGUUUUCAUUAAUCAAGAACGAAAGUUAGGGGAUCGAAGACGAUCAGAUACCGUCGUAGUCUUAACCAUAAACUAUGCCGACUAGGGAUCGGAUGAUGUUAAUUUUUUAAUGACUCAUUCGGCGCCUUACGGGAAAC
rnacentral:rRNA from 1 species